UCCCCUGGUGGUCCAGUGGCUAAGACUCUGCACUGCCAAUGCAGAAGGCCUGGGUUCAAUCCCUGGUCAGGGAA